CAGCCAGGCAGGAGGAAGAGGAGGCAGUUUCUGCUAAAAGCAGCUUCCUCGCGCGUUGCCCGCUAAGCCGGAACAUCCCGGAUCGAAACCUGAUCCCUGAUUCAGCCCCAAAUGACUCGCAACCCUGCUGGGGACCAAAGCCCCCCUGGACCCUGCCUUUGGACAAAGUAAUCAUUUGUUGACACAAGGCUCUGAGCAUGGAAGGGGCGAAGGGAAAGGCUUGCUUGGGUCCUUCAUUGCUCCUGCAAGUCAUCCUGGGCACCAUGUACAGGCAGUGUACGUUUUUGGCACGCUGCUGCUAAGCAAAUUUUUUAUUUUUAUUUUUAGGUAGGUCGCAGUGGUGUGCAAAAAUGGCUGGUAUUGCACAGGCGGACCUGCAUGCAACCGGCUCACCACACAGAGAGGGAAGAAAUCCUACAGUAUGUUUCCGCAGUUUCUGAAAGGUUUCCAGCUGCCCCUGCAAGCUUGUCAGCUACGCACUAAAGACAUCACGUCUGAUUUCAAUAGAGCAUCCAUCCCAGGGCCCGGGAUUAGGAUAUAGCACCGUCAACAUAUAUAUGGUGCUUUGCAGGAGUAAGCAAAUAAAAUCAGGCCUUUUUGUCUCAAAAAGAUUACAACCUACAUUACAGCAGUAAGCAGACAUCAGAGGGAGAGAAGGGGGGGAAACAGGAGGGAUAGGAGAGGACAACUUUUUUUGCCAGAAUAAUUCACCUCUCUCUUAACUCAUAGUCUCUAGAUGUUGCUGGCCUGCAACCCCCAUCAUCUCCAGCCAGCACAGCCAGUAGGAGUUGUAGAGUCUCAGAAUUACUGUAUAGAGUUGGAAGGAACCACAAGGGUCUAGUCCAACCCGCUGCAGUGCAUGAGCCUUUUGCCCAACAUGGGGCUCAAACACAUGACCCCAACAUUAAGAGUCUCAUGUUCUGCUAUCUUUGUACAAUAGGCUCAUUUCUACACACAUUCAUACACGUCUUUCUAUCCACCACCCAGGCAAAUAAUCAUCAUCACAGCUUGAGGACAAAUUCCAGCCAGGCAAAAACACCCAAACCAGGGCAAGUGAAAGGUCUGGCUGAGGAGGGAGUGUAGCCUGGGGAAAGUCCCAAGGGCCAGAUAGAGAGGCCUUAAUAUUAAAAUGAUAACACCCUGCUUUGGAUAGGACUCACCUCUCUCUCAUACACACACCCUAAUUUUAAGCAUACUUACUUGGAAGUAAAUCCCGUUUACAUCAAUGCAGUUUAAAGUGCAAUCCUGUUGUAACAUUGGCUGUCCCAUUAUUGUAAAUGGGUUUAUCAUUGUGGUUUAGUAAAAGGGAUGUUGGAUAAGGUUCAAGAACCUGGCAACACAACCUUAUUUCCCUUAAUGCUGGAGUGGAUGCUUCCUACUAGCCAAUUCACUGCAUGGGUGGAGACUCGGACCAAUGCUUUGGAAGAAGUUGUGUACCAUUGGAAGAAAAAGGUGAUUUGUUGUUAGAAGUUGCCGAGAGUUUGUAGCUUGUAGGUGAAACGGUAAGUGCAGCCUUCCCAGGCAGGGGGAGGGAUGGGCUACACAU